GCCGGAGUGGCGGAACUGGCAGACGCGCACGACUCAAAAUCGUGUAUCCUUACGGAUAUGUGGGUUCGAUUCCCACCUUCGGCA
rnacentral:tRNA from 1 species